rnacentral:lncRNA from 1 species
GAAAGGUCAAACAGGAGAUCGGUUUCAGUUUGGAGCUACAGGAGGGUGAUUAUUUCUCUAAUGUGAUUUGCUUCCUGUUGCUAAAACAGUCCUUUGAAAUGAGGUUGUUUGCUAAGUGAGGCAUCUCCUUCCUCUUUCUCCUGUGGAUGAAUUACAGAGUAAGAAGAAUCAUUCUGAGGCUCCUCACUGUGAUGGACUGAGGAGCCUUAUUUAUUCCCUGUGGAUAGUGGCCUGCCACUGGAGAGCCACAGGCUGGAGUGACAGAGCUGACUCAUGGGGUAGGGAGAAAAUGGCCUGGAUCACUGACAGAGGAAUCAAACUCAGGACCUUGUGCUUGCAAGGCAGGCGGCAGAACUACUGAGCUAAAUUCCCGGCCCACAAUGUUCAUUUUCAUUGCUGUGAUUACAUUACACUGGUUGCAGAUGGGUGACUGCUGCCUGAUCCUGGGUGAGAGGCAUUUUCUUUGCCAGUUGUCCAAAGAAUGGAAAUUUCCUGCAGUUUCACAGACAUAAUGGAUAUAUGCUGACUUUUUAAAAGCCAUCUGUUACUAGGGGCAAAAAGAAAUAAAAGAGGAAAAUACUUACUUUUAGACUCUCUAAUAUACGUGAAAAAAAAUCUUCCUAAAGAAAUGAGCAAAAAAAAAAAAGAAAGAAAGAAAAGAAAAGAACAACAGUCUUCAUAAAUCUGGAUCCUAGUACUCAUAUUGCAGGUUACCAGGUUCCAAGUGGCAUCUUAAGACCGGGAGGACACAAGGAACAAGGUGCAGCCUAAUCUGAAGAACAAGGGCAGUUCCUACGGAUGUGGACCUUGAGCAUCAGCUGGGCAGAAUGAAGUGAGACAGAAGCUGUCUCCUCGCUGAGUCUGGCAGCCAAAGAGGCUCAGGGGCCCGGACCCAGGAUGAACCUCAUGGGAAACCUCUUGGACCUCACCUUGCAGAUUCUACCAACUUUGCUACUAGGCUGUAACCUUGAUGAAUGGAAAAGGCAGAUCUCACCAGAUAAAGGAGGAGACCAAGUCAGACAACAAGGAAAUUAUCCACAUCAAACCCUCUGUUGCGAGUUCAAAAUGGUUGGAUGCAGUGCUUUUCUUAUAGCAGAAGUACUAUGGGGGAGGGGAGUUGCAUGCCUGCAUUGGUGUUUUAUAGCAACUACAUGUGGCCCAGAACUUUGGGAUAUUCCUGUCCUGUCUGCAUUCCAGCCGUGUCAAGAUCUUGCUUCUGUUUUUCAUGAAAAGAGCUCUGUGCUGUUUACAUGAGCUGCAGCUUGACCCGCAGCUGUACAACUUUCUUCUUCUAUUGUCUCAGGUCAAGAUGAAUUACAGACAGAGCCUUGACCAUAAAUAUUUAAUGAUUUUUAUCUUCAAAGCAUUGUGCAAGCACACUUAGUCUUAUUUUGAAGUGCUGAGUAGGCAUCUCCGAUCUUCUUUUAUGACAUAGUUUCUUUUUUAAAUGCUAGUCGCACCCUUUAUUCUGAAUCCUUAAUACAAGGCUGAGUUGUCUUUUUAUAAUAGCUUUAUUAAGAUAUAACUCAUAUAAUCAUAAAAUUUACCCUUUUAAAAUGUAGUGCUCAGUGGUUUUUAGUAUUUUUGGAGUUGUGCAACCAUUGCCACUCUCUGAUCUUAGAAUACUGUCUUCAUCACUCUGAAACGAAAUUGAUUUUCAGUAACUCUCCAUUCUGCCUCCCUCACCCUAUCUGACCUAAAGUACCUGUGGCAGACACUAAUCUAUUUUCUGUCUUUAUACCUAUUCUGAACAGUCUCACAUGUUUCUACUUGCCUUCUUUCUCUGCUACCUGCCUCCAUGAGAAGAGCAUCCCAGGGAUUGUCCACUUAUCCCAGAAGGUGAAUGAAAGACACUUGGAAAUGGAACAGAACUUUUCACCUCAGACAAGAGCAACUGCUUCGCAAAUUACUCAGAGUAGCUUGAACUAAAUAAAUCCUUGCUGUUACAUUCCACUGAGCUCUUGUGACCAUUUGUUAUGCAGUGAUAGCUUACUAAUACAAUGGCCAUUGUUAGCAACUCAGUUUUCCAUCUUAUGUUUUCACCAUCCAAGAGAGAUGGGGACAACUAGUGUCUGGUUCCAGCUAAGGGCUCUGAUUGACCCAUCCCUAAUUAUAAGUUAACAGGUUAGCCUGGCAUAGUUUCAUGGAAGUAAGCCAACAAAAUGUGGCCAUGAAGUGACAUGGAAGUGAAGACAUUAUUGUCACUGUUAUGUGAAGGAGUGGGGACAAUUGCUGAGAAAGGAAGGGGUGCUGGACACAUAGAACAUGCAGUCAUGACCUAGGAGGGACAAUGAGGUGCUACCCAAGCAGAGUGCAACUAUGUUCUUGGCACGUUUUACUUAUGUCUGUUCAGUCAUCAGGGAGAGAGCGAGCGAGCGAGAGAGAGAGAGAGAGAGAGGACCGAAUAAUGGUAAUUUUUCCUGGGAUGAAAGUGAAGUGUGUGUGUGUGUGUGUGUGUGUGUGUGUGUGGCUAUUGGAGAUAAGAAUCUCUGGUUAAAGGGUGGGCAUGGUGGCUCACACGAAUGAUCCCAGCACUGGGGAGGCUGAGGCAGGAGGAUCGCUGCGAGUUUGAGGCCAGCCUGGGCUACACAGUGAGUUCUAGGCCAGCCUGGACUACAUAGUGUGACCCUGUCUCAAAAAACCAAAACCAAAACAAACGAACAACAACAAAUAUCUGCUGUUAACUCGGCCUAAAUUCCAAGUCAUCACUCAAAAGGUUUAAGUCAUUUGCUAUACUGAAUGUGAUUCUAUGUAUUUUUGAACAGCUGUUUAUUUUAAACUAUAUAUAAUAGUAUACAUUGUAUAAUUACUCAUACUUCUUCCUGUAUAAUAUUGCAUUACAAAACCAUAUGUACUAUACUUAAUGGGAAGUUUAAGGAAUUUUCAAGUGCAACUGUCCAUUUCCAUACCUGCAUUAAGAAGCUUUUUCUCAGAAAUUACAUGUGUCUCAGAAGGGUGGAAGACAGGACCUGAGUGAGCAAAUAUUGCUUUUUAUCAUUUGGUGAAACAAAGGCUUAAAGUAGAAAUUAAGUAGAGUUUUGGAAAAAUAUUUUUUAAAUUCAAAUGAGUUUGUGAGUUGAGAUUCACACUACAACUCUACCCUUGUUAGUCUCACAUGUUAUUAUAGAAAAUGCAGUUGAGGUAGAAAGGAAUAUUAGAUGGUAGUGACAAAGAAUGAAUUAGUGCUACACGGAACAGCAGAUGAAUCUUACAAAUAUAAUGUUGAAUGAAAAAGAUUCAUAAGAGCGUUUAGUAUAUGAUCCUGUUUAUAUUAGGUUUCACACCAGGAAAAACUAAUCAAUAAUGUUAGAAAUGUUAGAAUGAGAUAAGGAAACAGAACUUGGGCACUGGCAGGAUACCUGAGACAGUUUUGCAUCCUGGAUUCUCUUCCAGCUGAUUGAGGUCCAUGGGAGACAAGGAUGGAGGUGUCAAAUCAUCCAGAGCAGAACCUGUGUGCCAGUCCCUGGAGACGGUCUAGAAAUUCAGGGGCACUUGGGGACUUGCACACAUCAGAAGAAAUAUCUGAGUAGGUGAGUGUGAGGUAUUGCCACUAAACCCUCUGUGCUGUUCACAGCUGGGUAGGAGCAUCAGAGUAUUCUGGCACAGGUAGCGGUGGCAUGGAUAUGGUCCAGAAGGUUGGCAGCCUUGAAAUGUUUUUGUUUUCUGGGCAAGGAUGGCCCAGCACUGCCCUGCUAGACUCAGUCAUAUUGUGCAGAUGGUGGAUCAGUUGGCCCUGACAAGAUGGCACUUUUAGCCAUCACAGAAUUUUCUGGAGAAGCCAGCUCUUCAUCCUUUCUUUUAGACUUUAAAAUCUUCAUAAAAAUGCUAUGGACCUACAGAGAGUAGUAUAUUUGAGCUCAGGAUUCUAGCAGAAUCAUGGACUUGAAAACAGUCAUGAUUUCUUGCCAUGGAUUACUUCUGCUUCUCCCUGUGUCCUUUCUCUUUGGUAAUGACUGGUUUUUCUCUCCUUCUUAGUCUACAUAGAGGAACAUGCUACCAGCUGGACCAAAGUUUUAAAUGUGAAAAUGCAAAUCCAGGAAAAGAGAUCUAUCCCUCUUCCGAAGCCCAAAGUGAACAUUUUCAAGGGGAUAAGAUUGAUUAGCCUACACUGGGAUGGUGCUCUCUGAAUCGAUAGCUUGUAGCUAGAAGAACAGGAUAAUACUGUACAAACUAUGUGGCUUGAUUUUUUUGACAAGGGGAAGGCAAGAUCUACAAAAGUAGGACAAGUGGUGGGACCAACAAUGUGAGUUCAGGGUGGUCAGUCCUCUUUGGCUUCUUUUCAUGGCUGCUGAGAAAGAAGAUGGAACAGGUUCCCUGAGCCCUCAUCCAAGGAAGUAAGAAUUGAUUACUAGCUUAGCCAUUACUUUACCUUGCUUGCAGACAUGUCCUCCUUUGAACUCUCUUUGUUUUUCUUUAUCUAUCUCCAGCCUGUAGACAAAGAAGCUCUGCUGAGGCUCCCAAGUGAAAGGUGCUGUCCCAUUUUACAAAAGCCUUAGGACCAGUCCUCAGAACACUUUGGUCCUUUGCCAUCCGAGAGCAAGUACACGGAGGUGUCUUGAGGCGUUAAGCGCCAGCUUGCAGAGAUAGUGAGGUAUAUUUUAGAACCCAAACUGCUGUCAGGGAACAUAUGGAUUUUGUUAUUUCCAUCCUAGCAGCUUUCUCUCCAUGGGUUUUGACAUAUGAAUUUCAAAAGGAGGGAGUGUUUUCCUGAUUGACACCUCAGAAAUACUCUUUGUGGCAAAAUCACAAAUAUUUCCAGAUCUUGCUGGGCAUGGAGAUGGCUGAGCUGCUGGAGACAUUCUAUCAGUGUCACUUGACACAGCGUGUGAGGUCAGGCAGGGGUGAACACUGUUGGCUGGACACAAAGGUUGAGCAUUAUCUGCUCUGUGGGGGGACACAUCACACUCAGCCAGCUCAGGAGGGAGACUGACACAUGUGGGUCAUUGCACGGAGUCUUUUCUCCCUGGCAGAGCAAAGCAGGCCUGACAUUCCCGGAAGAAAAUGACACUGAAAGCAGUCAGACAAAGGCCAGGCAAGCAUUACCAAGGCUUUCUGGAAAAAGCUUUCUUCGUGGACUCACGCCAAUCAUUACUUUACUUACCUUAACUAAUUCAUUUCUUGUUUUUGUUCCUUAAUAAAAGAAAGGCAACUGUCAUUUAUUGAAUUUUUUGUGGGCUAGGAUUGGUAGUGUGCAAGAAAUGGCUUGGCCAAGCUCAGGAGAACCAACUGAACAAUUUCCAGGAAUCCUGCAAGAUAACUGUUAAACACAAGCCAUUAUUAAAAAUUAAAUUAUACUAACAUAUAAUUAAACUGUGUUAGAACAGAGGUAAUAAAUACUCAAAACUCAUCACAUUCUAAUUAUUUUACUACAUUGUACUGUUGUGCUCAUGAACUUAUUUGUAUCUACUGCAUCUGUAUGUUGGAAAUACUGUAAAAUAACUUGCUACUGUGCAUCUCUGUGAAAAUUGGCCGUAGUGGGAGGAACUAGCAAAUGUUACAAAUCUGGGCCGGUUUUAAAAAUUGUUUUCAUCCUUCAAGAUAAUGACAACAGUGGAGAAAAUGUUAAUAAUACAGAUUAAAUUAAAAAUGUAUGUUUGUAGCUGAUACACUAUCAGCUACAAAAAUUUUGGAAAAUAGUAUUUGAAACUCAUUCCUUGAUUUGGUAAAGAAGUUGUAGUUGUUCAUGUCAUUGACCCAUGACCGAAAUUCUGACAUUUUCAUCUCAUUUUUAUCUUUUGAAUGUUAACAAAAAUAUCAAACAACAUAUCUGUGUCACAGCUAUACUCAUUUGUCAGUUGCAGCCAUAGGUUGGCUGUGGAUGCAACAGUUCAACAAUUCCUUGAAAGCAUUUUGUGAGAAUUAACUGGCUAAAUGAAAUUUACAAUAAUGAAUAUAGUAUAUCUCAUUAUUAGUAGUGAAUUAUGCGUGACAUAUCUUUUUAUCAGUAGAAUUUCCAUAAACAUUUAUGAAUACUCACACAUUUUUGAGGAGGGGUAAUUAUUAGCUAUUGUUACCUUUGCUAUGAAUAUACUUCCCUCUUUACCUUGUCUUCCAAGACCCAAUUCAAAGUCUGAUCUACCCCUUCUUUCUGGUCCUAUGUUGCAGCCCUUGUUACCAGUGCAUUAGGGUUUGGGAAGUUCCCUGUACUUUCUAGAAUAAGUAGAGUGGAAGAGCAGGAACCUUGAAUAUUCAGCUCUGAACAAGUUAGAGCUGUGCUCAAUGCUUGAUACCUAGGAGUUGUCCACAAGGUGUGGGUUGAAAGAGAGAGCAAGAACCCUGGGCAGAAGUGGGGAGAAAGAGAAAAGAAAGUGGUCAUGUACGUAGAAAAGGGGCAGUGGGCAGUACUGCUACCUGCCAUGUAGGUUGACAUACUCAGGUGUGUUUGCUCACUGCUGACCAAAUCAAAGGAGGCCAUUUAUUUUGGUAAAAAAGAAAAAGGAUUUAUUCAAAGCUAGCUCUAAGGAAAUGGAGGUGCCCUUUUGCCUCCAACCCCAAGCUCACUGUGUACAGGUGUGAAGGGACAGGGAGAGGGAACACAGAGAUAAUGCACAUCUUCACCCUUGCUUUGUGGCUUCAGGCAUCUUCAGCUCCUUCUCUACUUUCUUGUAGAAAGGAAACUGGGCCCUGGCCUCCAUGGGGCUGGUAUCUGCAAUUUUGUCACUUUUGGGGGGCAGACGAGAGAAGGGCGUGUUGGUUAUGUGCUCAGUAGGAGAUGUGUGGAGAAAUGUAGAGAAGUUGCUUAUCUCUAAAAUUAAAAAAUUAUAAUUUAAAGUUCCAUUUUGUGGUGCCAGUUACAAUAGUAUAGAGCACAUUUUGAUAUUUAAGUUUACUUAGGGUUCCUGCAGUCUGUAUCGAAUGCAGCAAGUUUUGGCUGAUCAAACCACAACACUGAUAAACUGGAUUUGUUUGGAAAUGACCUAGACUUUACAAGAGCAAGACAAGUCACCAGCUAAUCAUAUCACUUAAGGUACUUGACAUGAUCCUGGCUGAGCUCAGCUCAGUGAUUAAAUCCUUCCAGACAGUUUUUUCUUUUUAAGCAACAGUCACUGAACACCUAUUUGAAUGUGGUAGGCACUAGAUUUUCCACAUGUCCUAUGUAAGAGACAACAUCAGAAGCCCAUGAGAACCUGCUUUCCUCCGAGGAACUUGUCCUGUUGUAUAUCCUGGCUGCAAAGCCCCUCCUCACACCCCUGUGGAGGGGCUUGGGUGCCAGUCCUCCUAUUCAAGAAGUGUUUUCAGUCUUCUCAUCCCAGCCAUUAUUGAGUAGCUGGCUGAGUUUCCUGUCCAAGAAGGACACAAUUACCUGCCUCCCACAAUAUACAUCCAGCCAGGAUCAGCUUACUCGUGGCCAGCCAGCCACUCCCCUAAGAGGAGCAGUUGCCGAUAAGCUUGGAAAAAAACAAGUCUCCCUUUAUCUCCUAUUACCUCCAUCACAUUGGUCGUAAAUAAGGUCAGCCGGGAUCUGUCUAGCCUCCAGCCAUGGCCCAGUGUAAAGUAGAUAUGUCAAAGAAAAUGGGAAAAAUCUUUUACACUCCUUCCAUACUUUCUCUCAAGUCACUCAAAGAGCCAAAUGAAAUAGGGUGUGGGUCUUCAUUUCCCAUCGUGCAGUGGAUCCUCCUUUUGUCUUUGUCCUCUGCUAGUUUAUUCUUAAUUCAGAGGCCAGAAGGUUCUAGUUAAAAGGCACACCAGACUAUGUCAAGCCUUUACUCAGAACCUCCAAUAGCUCCAACUGCAAUCAGAAGCUGUGACUGAAGACUCUUGUAUCCCAACCCCUUGUGAAUCUGAUUUCCUACUGGUUCCUUCUCCUCAGCAGCCUCAAUAAUCUUGUUCCUUGAGCUCAUCACCCCACCCUCACCCCCCACCCAGAGCCUUUACUUUCCUUGUUCCUUCUGCCUGGGACAUUCAUCUCCCAGCUAGCCACAAGGCUUCCUCCCUCACUUCCUUUACUCUGUGUGAACCUCACCUUGUCAGUGAAGUCUACUAUGAUGUGCACAGAAGACCUUACCUUUCCCUCUGCUGCUGGUCCUCAUCGCCCUGUUCUAUCAUUCCCAUGGGAUUUACCAUCUUCUAGCAUAACAUAAUUUAUAUAUUGAAUCUGUUUAUAGGUUUUCUCUCCCCAGUAUAAAUGUAAGCUUUAAGAAGCCAUAGAGGGGCCAGGGAUUUAGCUCAGUGGUUCCGGUGCCUGCCUCGCAAGCACAAGGUCCCAAGUUCAAUCCCCAGGACCAAAAAAAAAAAAAAAAAGAAGGCAUAGAUUACGUCCUUUUAGUUUGCUGAUGCAUCUCAAAAAUGUCUAAAACACGAUAGAUAAUAGAAGCUCAAUAAAUAUUUGUCAUAUGAUGUAUACUUCUUAAAUUGAGGAAUCUAGGGGCACCUCAAAGUUAAUGAACAUUGUGGAGGCAUCUGGGACUAAAAAUCAGUUUCCUCCAUGCUAGAACCCACAUCCAUCAUCUAAUCCUCAUUUCCUUUUUAUCAACAACAGCACUUAGGGGAAAAUACCAGAGAGUUCCCUAUGGAGCUGAGUAGAUAGAUUUUUUUUUAAUAUUUAUUUGUUCAUCAAGGUCAAGGAUGCCAUAUGAAAACUCUGUAAGUAUUUUUUUCACAUUAAUACAUUUUCCUGAAAAUGUCCGUGAAUUUGGAUGAUUUUAUAUUCAUAUGCCAAUACUUGAAGAAUAAAUCUCAAACAAGGAGUCUUUGUUGUUAGUAGUGGUGUCUGUGGAGGUGGAGACAGGGAGGUGCAGUUGCGGAGGAGAAAUAUAGAAACAUUAGUUUAAUCAUGUGGGCUACUCUGUUAAUAAAGCUAGUGCCUCCUUUAUGACAAGGAGCUCUGGAAAACCAAAUAGAAAAUUGCUUUCCUUUAAAGAGAUCUACUGAGUCAUCGUCUGAAUCCCCUCUCUGCUACUUCUCACUUGGACUGCUGGUGAUUUUACUCCUAAUUUAUCUAAAGGGAGCUUAUGAAUCAUCAUCAAGAUUAAUUUCCAUUAGCUCCUCUAUCACUAAACACCGAAGUAACCUGUUGUAGUUAUCUAUUGCUGGAUAAUAAAUUACCCCAAAAUUUAGUACGUUAAAACAGCAACCAUUUCAUUUGCUUACAACUCUGUGCUUCUGUAAUUUAGAGUUCAGCUGGGUGGUCUUCCUGUUCCAGGCAAUGCUCACUGUGAUCACUCAUUGGCUGUAUGCAUCUGGUGGCUGGGACCAGCUGUAAGUUGGCUUGUUCACAUCUCUGGUGCCUUAGUUCUCCCCUAUGUGGCUUCUCUUUCUCCAGGCACUUGGGCUUCCUCAAAGUAUGGUGGUUUGAAGACUCAGCAUUGCAAGUUCCACAUCACUGACCUUUUUAUCAUAUUCUCUUGGUCAAAAUAGAACAAAGAACCCAUUGUAUUCAAAGAGAGUAGACUGUCUUUGGGAGGCAUGACAAAGAAUUUGUGACUGUGUUUAAUCCAUUAUACAACCAAGUACAGGUAGUCAGUCCUCAUUUUCCAUCAUACUUUAGCUCAUCUCUCUCUUAAUAGAAGAGGUAAAUGAGAAAUUAAAAAAAGAUGUAUCAAGAGCUGUGAGCAUAUAAGCACCCAAAAUACGCAUCUCCAUUAUUUAUGAAUGCUCUCGCCUUGGCCAAACACUUUAGUAAUUUUUCUGUCACCAAGUCUGUCCCUGAACAUGUUCUACUUCUAUUUAGAACCAGUCUGUCCUCAGAAGUGGCUCCUCAAAUCCUAGAUCCUAAACACCAUGGAGCUCUUACAACCAAACCUUCCCUAUCCCCACUGCUCAUACUUUUCCUGGGACCUAGGAGACUUGGGACAUCUAUUGGUUUCUUAAUUUUAUAUUUUAAAAAUGUUAUUAACAUGUGAAGUGUCUUUAAAUUUUAUAGUAUUGUAAAUCCAAAGGAGAAAAUCUGGCUCCCGCUGACUAGCUCCUACUGACUUAAUUUUGACAUUGAAAUUAUUUCCACAGGAAACUGAUGAAUCUGCCAAGUUGUAAAGCAAGCAGCAGUCCAUUGUAAGAUGAAAGUGAGGCACCGGGGACUCAACCAACACUCAAAGACUAGUGGGCAUGUUUAGGUUGAGCAAGCAGGGAGCUCAGAUCCCUCAUGGCAUCCACCACAGUUACCAGCACAUCUCCCUCAGCAGACAUAAGGCCAUUGGAAGGAGAAGAAAAAAAAAUGGUUUAGGUAAGUUUACAUUUGGCUUGGAUCAGUGUGAGAAUACAGCCUGAAAAUGAAAAACCACCAUAUAACAACCACACUCAAGAGUGACUUUGAAAGAAAAUGGGGAAAAAAAGAGAAUGAAAAUCUUAUCACUGAGUGGAGCUAUAAUUAGAGCAUCUGGCCACUAAUGUUAUGGAAAGACAAGUGGUCCAAGCUGAGUAUGACUUAAUGGAUUGGUUCGAGGUCUAGAAGGAAAAUGACUGGAAAAUUGGAGACAAAGAGGUCUGGGGUGGAGCCACGUGGCCAGACCUACAGGAGUGGGCAUGAAGUAUGCGCAUGUUAAUGUGACAUGUUAAUGUCCACUGGAAAGCAUCCACUACAGAAGUGACAUUGGACAAUUUACAUUAGCUAGCCUUCAUCAUUAGUUCCCUCAGAACAGGCUUGAUGGACUGUCAAAAGAAAUGGCCAUACUGGUGAAAAAGAGCUUCCAUAUGGACCCAAAUGCAAAGACUUCCACUGAAGAAGACUGAUGCAGAUAUCGCCUUCUCUGAAUGUCCAAACUGCUGACAACAAGGACCAAUCCUGAGCCCCAGUAUGCUUCCUUGACAAUUUGUCCUCAUAUCAAUAGACACCUAUUCUGAGUGUGAGUCUGCCUUUCAUGUCUGCAGAGCUUUAUGUAGCAACAUUAUCCAGUGGUUUAUGUGGAAACUGACUCACAGCGCAGGCAUCAGGAAUUUAGGGUUCAGAGCCACUCUGGCCCACACCUGGAGAGUUUCCUUCCUCCUGGGAUUCCCAGGGAAAAGCAUGGCUUUCUCUAGACUCUCAGGUGUAAGUCCUUCCUUUCUGCUUUAGAGGCUCCACAUUAGGAAGAUCAGGAUCAGAGCCUCACUCAAACACUCACCCACGCCUAACAUUCUUACUCUCUCCAGUCUUUCUCCUUCCUGCCUUAUCCACUUAUCUCUUCAAGUCUGAAAAUUACUUUAACAUUGUAUCUGUGUCUUCUCAAGUCUAUGGUUCAAAGUAUAAAUCCUGUGGUUUGCUAGUCCUCUAAUAUUGGCUUUAGAUAUUUAAACCCUAGUUUCUGGAACUCUCAUCAAACUAACUUCCUUCCUUUCACUUCUCCUCAUUGUCUUCCUCCCUCUUGUCUUCUACCUUUGAGUUCUAAAAUCUCAAAAAAGCCUGGUCCUUGCAAUAAGAAAACACUGUCUAUUGUGUGUUAAAAAUUCCAUUCAGCAAACCAGUUGACUUAUUUGAACCAGGAUAUAUAAAAAUUUUUUUGAACUUCAGACAUAUAUCACAGUCUCUUCCCAGCUGAGAAUUUAUCCUGUUCUAGGCCCAUGAAACAUUUCCUAAGGGUGAUCAGUUAUUAAGCCAUAAUAAAAAGUUUAAUACAUUCCAUCAUUCAGGCCACAAUCUUCGAUCACUAUGCAGAGAGAUUUAACAUUAAUGCCAAAACUUAAAAGAAUAAAAUCCCACCACACUCUUACAUAGCUUUUGGAUCAAAGAGAAAUCAAAAGAGUGAUUGCAGGUUAUUUAUAAAACAAUGAUAAGAAUACUACAUAAGUGAGGUGGCCAAGAUUGUGCAUAGGAACAAUUAGUUUUAGAGGCUUUUGUAAUUAAACAAAGAAAAGAAUACAAAUAAACUGUUCAAGUAGAAGUUAAAAACAGAGCCAACAAAUACGACUAUGGCAAAUAAAAGAGGAAAUUGAUAAAGACUAAAGUAGAAAUUAGCAGUUAGAAGAAAGCCAGUAAAUUUGAUAGAUAAAUAAAUAAAAUGGUUCUUUAAAGUAUUAGAUAAAAAAGAAAAACUUUUUCCAAAGCCAAUCAAGAAAAACAAGGGGAAAAACCAAGCAAUUGGAGUGAGGACAGAUAUAUAACCACAGCUAGCAGAGAGAUUUAUGUUUUAUUAUGUAGAUUAUUAUGCUGAACUCUACUAAAACUUAUGAAGUCUGGGAAAAUGAAUGAUUUUCCAAUAAAAUAAAUUAUCAAAAUUUGUUAAGGAAUAAAAUGUAAAUAUACUCAUGAUCAUAAAAGAAAUUUUAAGAGUUUUCGGAGCUCUCCAAAAAUAUGCAUAGCUUUUACAAGCCAGAUCCAAUAGAACUUCACUGAGCAUAUAAUUGUCAUAGAAUUUAAACUGUUGCAGAAUUUCACUUCAUUUUACUAAAUUAGCAUAGUCUUGAUCUCUAAAUGUGUAGCAAGAAUCUACUAUAAUCUCAGAUGUGAAUAUAUUUCACGAAUUUUAAGUAAAGUAUUAGCAAAACAAAUCAAUAGUAUAACAAAAGAAUAAUGUGGCCUGGGAUUUAGCUCAGUGGUUUCGGUGCCUGCCUCGCAAGCGCAGGGUCCCGAGUUCAAUCCCUGGUACCCCCCCCCCCAAGGAAAGAAAACAAAAGAAUAAUGUAAUAUGAGUAAAGUUUUUCUGAGAAUGGAGGCAUAGUUCAAUAAUGGAAAAUCUCAGACAUUAGUGGAAAAUAAAUUGAUGCAGCCUUUUAGGGAGGGCAGUUUGAUUAAAUUCUAUCAAAUUUAGGAAUGCAUUGAAUCUGUGCCUUAGUCCCCUUAUAGUUACCUGUACUUAAAGAAAUAUGGGUACAAGAUGUUUGCACAAGAACCCUCUUUUUUUCUUGAUAGUGAGACAGAGAGAGAGACAGACAGACAGAGAGACAGAGACAGAGAGAGGAAACAACUUAAAUAUCCAUUAAUAAGAGAAUGACUAAGUCACAGUGUUACACUAAAAAGUACAAGGUAGUAUUUUAAAAGAAUGGGUUACUCUGUACCAAAACAGAAAAAUCUCUGCUACAUUAAGUAAACAAGACAACAAAACCAAACCAUUACUGGAGACCUCUCAGUAGGUUCCAGUCUCCUGCCCAGUAUACGAUGCAGAGCUGAAGAAAGACUCAAAAACAGAAUUAAAGAAAAAAGUGGGGAGCCAGGAUGGCCAGUGCUGAGCAACCAGGAAGGCCAUGGUCACUGAUUUUUAUUGGUAAUCAAAUUGGGAUAAAGGGUAACUAUGUGCUAAGAUGUGCAGUUGUGCAGUUGCUAUGAAUACUAAUGCAGGUAAGGCUUGUAAAGGAAAAGAUAAAGCAUUCUUGAAGUAAGAUCAGAACAGAGAAAAUAUAGGGUUGUAAUUAGUACCUUGUCCUUCUAGUUAAGAAGGUUUUAGUUGUGAGAAUGGAAUUUGGGUGCGAGUUACUUUGACCUCAGCUACUAUAUUAUCUCAUAUUGAGCCCCAUAGCUUCACAGAACAUUUCUCUGGUCUCUGCUGGGGCCGUUAGUGGGAAGGUCAUGCUAACCUGUGCGCUACUGCAGUGCUUAGGAGGUGCUUCUAUGAGUCACAUAAGCUUCAGACUCUCUUCUUAAAAUGGGCCAAUUGAGGGGUUAACUCUUUAUAGCCUGCACUGCUUACAGCCCACUUUGGGCAUAAUCAGUAGGGUGGCUCCCUACAAACCCCAAAUAUAUGAACUAAAUAAUAUUAUAUAAUGAUCCUAUUAAUGUAAAAAAAACUGUAGAGCCACAAAUGUGUGCACUUACCUGAGUAUGUAUAAAUGAAGAUAGCUCUAUCUAUAGAAGAUAACUCAAGAGGUGAGGAUGGGGUUGAUGACAUGGUACUGGGUGGCAAAGAGAUGUCAUUUUUUUUCCAUAUAGGUCCUGCAUUGUUUCACAUUUUCACAAUGAAGCUAUGCUCAGGGGUCACUUGUGUAACUAAAAUAGUAAAGAGUCAAAUAACACAUUUUGUAAUAAUUCAUUCCAUCAAUAAUCAAAAGAGGAAAAAAUCCUUAUACUUGAUGGUUUCCAGAAAAGCUUCUACCUCCUGCUAAUUCUUUUUAAAACUAAUUUUUUUGGGGGGUACCAGGGUUCGAACUCAGAACCUUGUGCUUGCGAGGCAGGCAGUGGAACCACUGAGCUAAAUCCCCAGCCCCUUAAAACUAAUCUUAAGAAAGAAAAAAGAAACUUUUAAAGUAAGAUCAAGAAUAUCAAGACAAUGAUUAUCAUCAUACUUAACAGUGGAGGGUUAAAGUAGUACCUAAUAAAGUUGGGCAGAUGGACUGGGAGGUCAGUAAUAUAAUUAUUGAACACUUAACAAUUUUGGUCAAUUCAAUUCCAUAGGAAAAGAAGAAACAGUAACCUUGAGAGAGGAAAGGAGUGUGGUGGGGGGAGAGAGAGAGUAUUAAUGUGUUAAGAAGGAAUAUAAAAUUGUUACUGUUUACAGGUAUGAUAAUCUCCAGGGAAAACCCAAGAGGUUCAACAAUAAAAGAGCACUUGCAUACGCCAAGGGCUUCCUGGCUGCCAGCCCUCUGCUCAGUCUUCAUAGACACAGUCUCAUUUAAUUCCCAAGAACCCUACGAUGCACAUUUAUCGUUUCUGUUCAACAGACAAGGAAAACUAUGUGCCUCAAAGGUUUAGGAGGCAGUGAGUGGUGAAGCAGCUGAGCCCAGAUUUAACCUGAGCUCUGAAUCUGGAGCUGGUUGAGAUCCUGCAGCCUGAAUGCACACUGUUUAAAAGCCACAGGGUAUCUUUUAAUAAGAAGACAACUAUAAUAGAGAAAAAGAUAUAAUAAUAAACACUUUAAAGUGGUGGUGUUUAUAUAGAAUAUCAAAAGCUAAUUUGGAAAUAUCAGGAAAAAUUACGUUCUAUGUGCCAUGGCGACCAGAAUUAUGUUAACAGCACACUUAAAAAUACCAGUAAAAGAAAACUUCAAAACUUUACCGAGAGACAAAGAAAAAACUUGAAUACACAGAGACAUGCUCAUCUGUAACUUGCAAGUCAAUAUUGAAUAUAUUUCAGUUGUACUCAAACCAACCCACAAAUAUAAAUUCUUAACAAAUUAGCAGUUUUGUCAGAACCUGACCAAACUACUCUUUUAAGAAAAAUGUUUAAUUUCAAGAGCUCAUUGUAUUAAACAAAUCAGAAAUACGUCACAUAAAACAUUUCCUCCAGAAGUAAACACUGUAAACAUUGUUAUUUGAAGCCCCCCUCAGAAUCCUGCUCUUUUAGCAUAAUAAAGACAAAUGACAUGCAGAGAAUGGCUUAGAGUAGGUCAUGAGGGCAUAUUACUAAGUUUUUAGGAAUUUUGUGAACUGGUUGAUAAACAUAGGCAAUAUGAAGAUCAUAUUAUAUAAACUAACAAUAAGUUAUUUAAAAAGCGUAAGUAAAACAUUUUUAAAGUUCAUUUCUUUCGAAUUAUUUUAUUAAAUGAUGUUAGCUAUGUGUGCUUCUAAGGUACUUUACAUGUAUUUUGUCUGAAUGAUGGACAUGCUAAACAGUGGUCUGCUGUUGUUCUCCUCCCAAUUCUGUGAGCAGUGACAUCAUGUUAGCAGGUUGCAACUGACUAUGGUGGGGAUACUUUGACCAUGGAGGGUGGCUGUGUUUGUCAGCUUUCUGUUACUAUAACAAAUGGCUAGAAUAAUCAAUUUCAAAAGAGAAAGGUUUAUUCGGCUUAUAGCUUUGGAAGUUUCACCCCAGGAUCAGAUGGCCCUGUUGCUUUUAGGCCUGUGAUGGCACAUCGUGGGGGGAUCCUGAGGUGGAGAAAAAACACCCAUGCAUGCCUGGAAGGCAGGAAAGAUCAGGAUCCCACCAUCCCCUUCAAGGGCACACCCCCACUGACCUGAAGACCUUCUCUCAGAACCCACUCCUUGGAGUUUCCACCGCCUCCCAGCAGCACCAAGCAGAGGCCCAAGCCUUUAACGCAUGGGCCUGUGGGGGCCACUCCAGAUCCAAACUGUAGCACUGACAAAUGCUACUGACCACAGUCUUUUCAGAGCUGGUUAUUAAACAUUGAACUCAGUAGCAGGAGUCAUAUGUAUUUUAUCUGUGUGUGUAUGCACGUGGUUCAAUAAAAGAGGGGAAAAAAAUCAUAUCUCACCUCCCUACUUAAAAGUAGAAUAAAUGAGGAUGACAAAUACAACUUGUUUCAUAAUCAGUACUAAUGAGGUAGAAAAGGAUUCCUUGCGGCAAAGAACUUAAAAGAGUUAUCACACUUAAACAUGUCAUGAAUUUUUCUUUUAUAAAAGACAGUGUUUUCAAUCUACUAAUCUUUUCCAGGAUGAAAGUAGGGUCAGUAAAAUGCACUUCAAAUUAUUUGGAAAAAACAGAUAUGCUUGUCUUUUCAAGGCACAAAUUACAUUGUAACAAAGAGUGGGGGAAUAACAGCCUUUUGGGAAUAACAGCCUUUCGAGAUAAACUCAUGCUUUGGAGAGAGUAUGCUGGAAAUGGGCAGAAGAUAUACCUCUAGAGUUGUGUGAUUUUGGGGGCUGAAAAUGAUGUAAGUGAACAGUCUAUAAAAAGACUAUAUCUGCUUACUUUAAAAACUUGGAAAUAGGAUAUUCUACUGUGCUUCAGUCUUCUGAAAUAAACUAACUUGCUAACAAUGUGGAAAGAUAAAAGCUUCCAAUUAUUUGGCAGAAACAACCAGCAGCCAUCAGGAAUAAUGGAAAUUGUUAGCUGAAUCUCAACAAAGACAUUUGCAUAUUGGUGAACAAAACUGCAAAUGAGUAUCACUAUUACUGGAGCAUAGUCUAUAAAAAUACUGCUUUCAUUUGGUGUCUUGCGUGAUGGUGAAGCUGCUUUUCACUUAUUUCAAAACCAAUUACUGGAAUAAUCUGAGUUUAGAAGGAGAAUUGGGAGGGGCUGAGUAUCACAGAGCAUUGAGUCAAGAUUGUAAAAUAAAGAAAUAACAUUUACCUUUGUUAAAACACAUUUUUAAGUGAGAGAAAAAUAUCCUGUACCUUAACAAUGAAGUUUAAAAGUAUUUACUUGAUAUUUAAAUUUUCCUUUUAAAAUUCCGCAGUGUGGAAUUGGACCGGCAGCAUCCCCGGGGAGCUGGUUAGAAAUGCAGCCUCUCCUGCGACUGCAUGACAGCCCCCACCUAACUGCUUCGAGGAAUCGUGUGCAUUGACAAGUUCUGGCACAAGCACCAUCGGGGCUACUUUGCUGUUUGGUGGGUGGGCAGUUGAUGGGGUUGGGAGUGGUCAAUUUGUCAGGUUGGAGAUUUCAAAGACGGGUAAUUCUGGACAUUUUGAAUGGAUAGUAAUCUUAAAACAAUUGUCAGAAGUAGAUGGAGACUCGCUGCAUAUAAUUCCCAACCCUACUGUAUAAAAGCACUAAAUAGCAGACAGUUCUAUUACGGUAUUUCUUGUAGCCUCCUGGUUAGUUCUUACAAGAUGGUUGUUAUAAAAGCCUGAGCUGGUGCUGCCCUCUCUCCCUGGCUUCCUGUUUCUAGAUGUGGUCUCUUCCUCCCACAUUGUCUCCGCCAUCACCAACUGCCAUGGGGCAGCCAGGGUUGCUGCCAUAGUGUUUGGACUUUCAGCCUCCAAACUGGAAGUGAAAAACCCUCUUUAUAAAGUUAGCCUGCCUCAGGUAUUUUUUAUACUAGUGAGAAAAAGACCAGUGCAUGAGCUAAUAUAUGACAUUAACUUUUUAUUUUACUCUUUUUAAAUUUUAUAUAUUUAUUUAUUUUUGGUACCAAGGAUCGAACUCGGGUCCUUGCGCUUGGGAGGCAAGCGACGGAACCACUGAGCUAAAUCCCCAGCCCUAUAUGACAUUCACUAUGGGCCAGGUGCUAUCCUAAAUUCUCCCUGUGAAUUAAUUAUUUAAUCCUCUUUCACCCUAGGAGGUGGAUCUAUUGUUAUCCUCAGUUUACAGCCAAGGAAGCUGAAGUACAGAGAAAUUAUUUGCUCAGAGUCAGAGCUAAUAAAUAGUGAAGACAGGAUUUGGACAUAGUCCAGCUCCACAGCCUAAGCUUUUAACCAUUAUGCUGCACUGCACGGGUAUAAAAUAAAUAAAUAAAUAAAUAAAUAAAUAAAUUCCUAUAUAUUAUGGAUGCACCCUCAAAUAAUUUUAUUGAUGGAAAAGUGAUAAAAAGG